rnacentral:rRNA from 1 species
GACGAACGCUGGCGGCGUGCUUAACACAUGCAAGUCGAACGGAAAGGCCCUGCUUUUGUGGGGUGCUCGAGUGGCGAACGGGUGAGUAACACGUGAGUAACCUGCCCUUGACUUUGGGAUAACUUCAGGAAACUGGGGCUAAUACCGGAUAGGAGCUCCUGCUGCAUGGUGGGGGUUGGAAAGUUUCGGCGGUUGGGGAUGGACUCGCGGCUUAUCAGCUUGUUGGUGGGGUAGUGGCUUACCAAGGCUUUGACGGGUAGCCGGCCUGAGAGGGUGACCGGCGACAAUGGGACUAAGGUACGGCGCAGACUCCAACGGGAGGCAGCAGUGGGAAAUAUUGCACAAUGGGCGGAAGCCUGAUGCAGCAGCGCCGCGUGCGGGAUGACGGCCUUCGGGUUGUAAACCGCUUUCGCCUGUGACGAAGCGUGAGUGACGGUAAUGGGUAAAGAAGCACCGGCUAACUACGUG